rnacentral:rRNA from 1 species
GAUGAACGCUGGCGGCGUGCCUAAUACAUGCAAGUCGAGCGAACAGACGAGGAGCUUGCUCCUCUGACGUUAGCGGCGGACGGGUGAGUAACACGUGGAUAACCUACCUAUAAGACUGGGAUAACUUCGGGAAACCGGAGCUAAUACCGGAUAAUAUAUUGAACCGCAUGGUUCAAUAGUGAAAGACGGUCUUGCUGUCACUUAUAGAUGGAUCCGCGCCGCAUUAGCUAGUUGGUAAGGUAACGGCUUACCAAGGCAACGAUGCGUAGCCGACCUGAGAGGGUGAUCGGCCACACUGGAACUGAGACACGGUCCAGACUCCUACGGGAGGCAGCAGUAGGGAAUCUUCCGCAAAGGGCGAAAGCCUGACGGAGCAACGCCGCGUGAGUGAUGAAGGUCUUCGGAUCGUAAAACUCUGUUAUUAGGGAAGAACAAAUGUGUAAGUAACUAUGCACGUCUUGACGGUACCUAAUCAGAAAGCCACGGCUAACUACGUG